GACGAACGCUGGCGGCGUGCUUAACACAUGCAAGUCGAACGGAAAGGCCCUGCUUUUGUGGGGUGCUCGAGUGGCGAACGGGUGAGUAACACGUGAGUAACCUGCCCUUGACUUUGGGAUAACUUCAGGAAACUGGGGCUAAUACCGGAUAGGAGCUCCUGCUGCAUGGUGGGGGUUGGAAAGCUUCGGCGGUUGGGGAUGGACUCGCGGCUUAUCAGCUUGUUGGUGGGGUAGUGGCUUACCAAGGCUUUGACGGGUAGCCGGCCUGAGAGGGUGACCGGCCACAUUGGGACUGAGAUACGGCCCAGACUCCUACGGGAGGCAGCAGUGGGGAGUAUUGCAGAAUGGGCGGAAGCCUGAUGCAGCAACGCCGCGUGCGGGAUGACGGCCUUCGGGUUGUAAACCGCUUUCGCCUGUGACGAAGCGUGAGUGACGGUAAUGGGUAAAGAAGCACCGGCUAACUACGUG
rnacentral:rRNA from 1 species